UUUGCAUUCUCACCAGUGGUGUAUGAGGGUUCCUUUUUCUCCAUAUCCUCUCCAACAUUUGUCGUUUUUUGUCUUGGUAAUUAUAGCCAUUCUCACAGAUGUAAGGUGAUAUGUGAUUGUAGUUUUGAUUUGCAUUUCCCUAAUAAUUAGUAUGGUUGAACAUCUUUUCAUGUGCCGGUUGGCUAUCCGUAUAUCUUAUUUGGAAAAAUGUCUAUUCAUAUCCUCUGCCUAGUUUUUGACUGGGUUGUUUGUUUUGUUGUUGUUGAGUUGUAUGAGUUCUUUAUGCAUUUUGGAAAUUAACCCCUUGUUGGAUGUGUGAUUUGCAAACAUUUUCUCCCAGUUGGUGGGCUGUCUUUUCAUUUUGUUCAUGGUUUCCUUUGCCUUGCAGAAGCUCUUUAGUCUGAGAUAGUCCCAUUUCUUUAUUUUUCUUUUGUUUCCCUUGCCUGAGUAGACAUGGUAUUCAAAAAGAUGCUGCUAAGACUGAUGUCAAAGAAUGUACUACCUAUAUUUUCUUCUGGGAGUUUUAUGGUUUCAGGUCUUAGAAGAAAUAGAGAAUCCGAAUAGACCAAUCACAAGUCAAGAGACUGAAACAGUAACCAAAAACCUCCCCCAAAACAAAAGUCUAGGACCAGAUGGCUUCUCUGGAGAAUUCUCUGGAACAUUCAAAGAAGAUUUAAUACCUAUCCUUCUCUAACUAUUCCAAAAAAUUGAAGGAGAUGGAACUCCUUCUAACUUAUCCUAUAAGGCCAACAUCACCCUGAUAUCAAAAUCAGACAAGAACACAAAGAAGGAAAAUUACAGGCCAAUAUCACUGAUGAACAUAGAUGAAAAAAUCCUCAACAAAAUAUUGGCAAACCGAAUACAGCAAUACAUUAAAAGGAUCAUACACCAUGAUAAGGAGUCAAGCCUGAGGAUGAAGCUAACACAGAAAGGAAGGCAGAGCAGAGACAAGUACCAAGACUAUGCUGGAGUCUUGAUCAAACAACAUAUGAAUUUCACUCUAUUUCUGGACUUUUCAAUGACACCUGCAAUAUUAUAUCCACUUUCAUGGCUGCAACCACCACAUCCAUGGGACGACUCCAAAGCAUCCAUCUCAGUCCUUGACAGACAGUUGCAGAUCUCCAGCUGACUGUCAAACACUCUUAACUGCAGAACUGCUGCCAUAAUGUGUUUAAGCUCUAACUGAGGAUCUGUAACUGACUAGCCAUGUGAACUCGGAACUGUCACGUAUCUUUCAGAACUUCAGCGUUUCAUUCGACAACAAGAAUGGUUUGAAGUUGAAUAUCUACCGUACAAGACUUUAAGGCCUAGGAGGAGCCUUGUCUAUCCAAUUAUUGACGGGACCUCUUUAGCCUAAGGUUCCUGUAGUUGUAAUGUGUGCCGUCCAAUACAGUUUAAAUUUAAAUUUAAUUAAACGUAUAUUCAAUUGAAAAUUCAUGUCAUCUGCUUCACUAGCCACAUUUAAAUGUUCAGUUGCCACUUGUGACGGUGGCUACCAUAAUGGACAAUGCUGAUAUAGAACAUUUUCAUCCCUGCAGAAUGUCUCAUUGGAUAAUGCUGUAGGUUAACCAACCACCACGUAUAAAGCCAAAAUUAUCUUCCUCUCCAUUAGCUCAAACUUUAUACUUCCUACGUCUCAUAGUAGCAUUAACACCAUUGUUAUGGACUGAAUUGUGUCCCCCACCAGAUUCAUAUGUUGAAGUCUAACCUCCCCCCAAUAUGACUGCAUUUGGAGAUAGGGACCUUAGGGAGGUGAUUAAGGUUAAAUGAAAUCAUAAGAGUGGGAGCCUAAUGCAAUAGGUCUCGUUCCUUACAAGAAGAGGAAGAGAUAUCAGAGAUCUCUUCCUCUCUGCACUUGUGCAGGGAAAGAACAUGUGAGGAGGCAGUGAGAAGGCAGCCAUCUGUAAUCCAGGAAGAAAGACUUCACCAGUAACCAACACGGAUGGCACCUUGAUCUUAGAUUUCUG
rnacentral:lncRNA from 1 species